ACGGGGAGGAGCCCAGAGCCUGAAUCAGUGUGUGUGUUAGUGGAAGCGUCUGGAAAGGCGCGCGAUACAGGGUGACAGCCCCGUACACAAAAAUGCACAUGCUGUGAGCUCGAUGAGUAGGGCGGGACACGUGGUAUCCUGUCUGAAUAUGGGGGGACCAUCCUCCAAGGCUAAAUACUCCUGACUGACCGAUAGUGAACCAGUACCGUGAGGGAAAGGCGAAAAGAACCCCGGCGAGGGGAGUGAAAAAGAACCUGAAACCGUGUACGUACAAGCAGUGGGAGCACGCUUAGGCGUGUGACUGCGUACCUUUUGUAUAAUGGGUCAGCGACUUAUAUUCUGUAGCAAGGUUAACCGAAUAGGGGAGCCGAAGGGAAACCGAGUCUUAACUGGGCGUUAAGUUGCAGGGUAUAGACCCGAAACCCGGUGAUCUAGCCAUGGGCAGGUUGAAGGUUGGGUAACACUAACUGGAGGACCGAACCGACUAAUGUUGAAAAAUUAGCGGAUGACUUGUGGCUGGGGGUGAAAGGCCAAUCAAACCGGGAGAUAGCUGGUUCUCCCCGAAAGCUAUUUAGGUAGCGCCUCGUGAAUUCAUCUCCGGGGGUAGAGCACUGUUUCGGCAAGGGGGUCAUCCCGACUUACCAACCCGAUGCAAACUGCGAAUACCGGAGAAUGUUAUCACGGGAGACACACGGCGGGUGCUAACGUCCGUCGUGAAGAGGGAAACAACCCAGACCGCCAGCUAAGGUCCCAAAGUCAUGGUUAAGUGGGAAACGAUGUGGGAAGGCCCAGACAGCCAGGAUGUUGGCUUAGAAGCAGCCAUCAUUUAAAGAAAGCGUAAUAGCUCACUGGUCGAGUCGGCCUGCGCGGAAGAUGUAACGGGGCUAAACCAUG
rnacentral:rRNA from 1 species